rnacentral:rRNA from 1 species
CCUACGGGAGGCAGCAGUAGGGAAUAUUGCACAAUGGGGGAAACCCUGAUGCAGCAACGCCGCGUGGGUGAUGAAGUAAUUCGGUAUGUAAAGCUCUAUCAUCAGAGAAGAUAAUGACGGUACCUAAGUAAUAAGCCCCGGCUAACUCCGUGCCAGCAGCCGCGGUAAUACGGAGGGUGCAAGCGUUACCCGGAUUCACUGGGUGUAAAGAGAGCGUAGGCGGGAUUGCAAGUCUGAAGUGAAAGCCGGGGGCUUAACCCGCGGACUGCUUUGGAAACUGGACGGCUGGAGUGUGGGAGAGGUAAGUGGAAUUCUUAGUGUAGAGGUGAAAUGCGUAGAGAUGAGGAGGAAUACCAGUGGCGAAGGCGGCUUACUGGACUGUAACUGACGUUGAGGCGCGAAAGCGUGGGGAGCAAACAGGAUUAGAUACCCCGGUAGUC